rnacentral:rRNA from 1 species
GACGAACGCUGGCGGCGUGCCUAACACAUGCAAGUCGAGCGAAUGAAGUUCCUUCGGGAAUGGAUUUAGCGGCGGACGGGUGAGUAACACGUGGGCAACCUGCCUCAUAGAGGGGAAUAGCCUUCCGAAAGGGAGAUUAAUACCGCAUAAGAUUGUAGUACCGCAUGAUACAGCAAUUAAAGGAGCAAUCCGCUAUGAGAUGGGCCCGCGGCGCAUUAGCUAGUUGGUGAGGUAACGGCUCACCAAGGCGACGAUGCGUAGCCGACCUGAGAGGGUGAUCGGCCACAUUGGGACUGAGACACGGCCCAGACUCCUACGGGAGGCAGCAGUGGGGAAUAUUGCACAAUGGGGGAAACCCUGAUGCAGCAACGCCGCGUGAGUGAUGACGGCCUUCGGGUUGUAAAGCUCUGUCUUCAGGGACGAUAAUGACGGUACCUGAGGAGGAAGCCACGGCUAACUACGUGCCAGCAGCCGCGGUAA